GACGAACGCUGGCGGCGUGCUUAACACAUGCAAGUCGAACGGAAAGGCCCUGCUUGCAGGGUACUCGAGAGGCGAACGGGUGAGUAACACGUGGGUGAUCUGCCCUGCACUUCGGGAUAAGCUUGGGAAACUGGGUCUAAUACCGGAUAGGAGCCAUCUUUAGUGUGGUGGUUGGAAAGUUUUUUCGGUGUAGGAUGAGCUCGCGGCCUAUCAGCUUGUUGGUGGGGUAAUGGCCUACCAAGGCGGCGACGGGUAGCCGGCCUGAGAGGGUGUACGGCCACAUUGGGACUGAGAUACGGCCCAGACUCCUACGGGAGGCAGCAGUGGGGAAUAUUGCACAAUGGGCGCAAGCCUGAUGCAGCGACGCCGCGUGGGGGAUGAAGGCCUUCGGGUUGUAAACUCCUUUCGCUAGGGACGAAGCUUUGUUGUGACGGUACCUAGAUAAGAAGCACCGGCUAACUACGUG
rnacentral:rRNA from 1 species